rnacentral:rRNA from 1 species
ACGAACGCUGGCGGCGUGCCUAAUACAUGCAAGUCGAACGGUCUUUCUAUGGAAGCUUGCUUCCACUGAGAAGAUAGUGGCGAACGGGUGAGUAACAACGUGGGUAACCUGCCCAUAAGAGGGGGAUAACAUCCGGAAACGGGUGCUAAUACCGCAUAGUUUUCUUGAUCGCAUGAUCGGGAAAGGAAAGACGGCCUUUGUGCUGUCGCUUAUGGAUGGACCCGCGGCGUAUUAGUUAGUUGGUGAGGUAACGGCUCACCAAGACGAUGAUACGUAGCCGACCUGAGAGGGUGAUCGGCCACAUUGGGACUGAGACACGGCCCAAACUCCUACGGGAGGCAGCAGUAGGGAAUCUUCCGCAAUGGACGAAAGUCUGACGGAGCAACGCCGCGUGAGUGAAGAAGGUUUUCGGGAAUCGUAAAACUCUGUUGUCAGAGAAGAACAAGUUGGAGAGUAACUGCUCCAGCCUUGACGGUAUCUGACCAGAAAGCCACGGCUAACUACGUGCCAGCAGCUGC